rnacentral:lncRNA from 1 species
GAAGUCAACAGUUUUGAAGAAACAGAAUUUCCCACUCUUGAGUUCAGGUGACAUUGUCUUGGAUUUACAUCAGCAAAGCUGAGAGAUGACAGUCGUUAAGUUGAAUAUUGUCAAGAGGAAAGAUCAUGCUGCUGUGUAUAUGUCACAAAAACAAAGUUAAAAUACGGCUGGUUCCAGGAAGGAAAAUACUGCCCUUUGUGAUCAAUCAAAUGAAGAGGAGGGAAUGACUGUCAUGUCAAUACAGAAAAGCUCUCUUUGACAGAAA